UUGAUUUGACUUCUAUUUGGAUAUCCCUGGGACAUCCAGGGCUAAUACAUGCCUGAACGGAUUUUAUCCGUGCUUUGAGGACUAUACAAACACAAGUUUGCGAAUGUGUCUCACCAAGUAAAUCAUCUUGAUAAAUCAAAAAGGCUUCUGACCCAUCAGCUUUGAUGGAAGUGUAUUGGACUACCAUGGCUUCUACGGGUGACGAGGAAUUAGGGUUCGAUUUCGGAGAGGGAGCUUGAAAAAUGGCUACCACAUCUAAGGGAGGCAGCAGGCGCGCAAAUUACCCAAUCCUGAUCAAGGGAGGUAGAGACGAGCAGUAUCAAUGAGGAGCCUCUGGCUUCUCAAUUGGAAUGGGUGUGUUUUAAAUCUUCACACUAGUAACCAUUGGAGGGCAAGUCUGGU
rnacentral:rRNA from 1 species